rnacentral:ncRNA from 2 species
UCUGGCAGCUAGGGGUGCCUCGUCGAGGCUGAGAUGGGCGUUUGCCUGACCCUUUGAACCUGAUGCGGGUAAUCCUGCCGUAGGGAAGCUGCAGUAAAUCUGU